rnacentral:rRNA from 1 species
AUUGAACGCUGGCGGCAGGCCUAACACAUGCAAGUCGAGCGGGGUUUUCGGACCUAGCGGCGGACGGGUGAGUAAUGCGUAGGAAGCUGCCCGAUAGAGGGGGAUACCAGUUGGAAACGACUGUUAAUACCGCAUAAUGUCGACGGACCAAAGUGUGGGACCUUCGGGCCAAAUGACAUCGUAUGCGCCUCCGUUGGAUUAGCUAGUUGGGGAGGUAAUGGCUCGCCAAGGCGACGAUCUCUAGGUGGUUGGAGAGGAUGAUAAGCCACACUGGAACGGAGACACGGUCCAGACUCCUACGGGAGGCAGCAGUGGGGAAUAUUGGACAAUGGGCGCAAGCCUGAUCCAGCCAUGCCGCGUGUGUGAAGGAGGCCUUCGGGUUGUAAAGCACUUUCAGCGAGGAGGAAGGGGUGUGUGUUAACAGUACACACCUUUGACGUUACUCGCAGAAGAAGCACCGGCUAACUCUGUGCCAGCCGCCGCCGUAACAC